rnacentral:rRNA from 1 species
UGAGGAAUAUUGCACAAUGGGCGCAAGCCUGAUGCAGCGACGCCGCGUGGGUGAUGAAGGUCUUCGGAUCGUAAAGCCCUUUUUCUGCGUGACGAGACAGGACGGUAGCGCAGGAAUAAGUCUCGGCUAACUACGUGCCAGCAGCCGCGGUAAAACGUAGGAGACGAACGUUAUCCGGAGUUACUGGGCGUAAAGGGCGUGUAGGCGGUUUGUUAAGUCUGGCGUGAAAGCUCUCGGCUAAACCGGGAGAGGUCGUUGGAUACUGGCGAACUAGAGGAUGGUAGAGGCGUGUGGAAUUCCGGGUGUAGUGGUGAAAUGCGUAGAGAUCCGGAGGAACACCAGUGGCGAAGGCGACACGCUGGGCCAUACCUGACGCUAAAGCGCGACAGCAUGGGGAGCAAACGGGAUUAGAUACCCCGGUAGUCCCUGAGCGGGCUGGCAAGGCGCAU